GAGGCUCUUCAAUAUGCUGAUGUUGAUCCAAAUUCGCAUAGACGAAAGCAGACAUAGGAACUCGUUGAACUUAGUUUGCCGAAUGCCUUAGAUGGCAUUCCAACUGCUUUAUCUAUGGUUUUUUUUUUUUUUUUUUUUUUUUUUUUAUACAUAUAAAGCUUUUUAGAUGUGGUGUGAUGGCCAGUGAUACAACUUUCCGCCAAAGUUUAAA
rnacentral:lncRNA from 1 species